CCUACGGGUGGCAGCAGUGGGGAAUAUUGCGCAAUGGGCGAAAGCCUGACGCAGCGACGCCGCGUGAGGGAUGAAGGUCUUCGGAUCGUAAACCUCUGUCAGCAGGGAAGAACGGUCACUGUGCUAAUCAGCAGUGAAUUGACGGUACCUGCAAAGGAAGCACCGGCUAACUCCGUGCCAGCAGCCGCGGUAAUACGGAGGGUGCGAGCGUUAAUCGGAAUUAUUGGGCGUAAAGCGCUCGUAGGCGGUAUGUCAAGUCAAGGGUGAAAUCCCCGCGCUCAACGUGGGAACUGCCUUUGAGACUGGCAAGCUGGAGUGUGUGAGAGGAUAGUGGAAUUCCAGGUGUAGGAGUGAAAUCCGUAGAUAUCUGGAGGAACAUCAGUGGCGAAGGCGACUAUCUGGCACAUAACUGACGCUGAGGAGCGAAAGCGUGGGUAGCAAACAGGAUUAGAUACCCCGGUAGUC
rnacentral:rRNA from 1 species